rnacentral:rRNA from 1 species
UACGUAUGGGGCAAGCGUUGUCCGGAAUCAUUGGGCGUAAAGAGCGUGUAGGCGGCCCGGUAAGUCCGCUGUGAAAGUCCAGGGCUCAACCCUGGAAUGCCGGUGGAUACUGUCGGGCUCGAAUCCGGAAGAGGUGAGUGGAAUUCCUGGUGUAGCGGUGAAAUGCGCAGAUAUCAGGAGGAACACCAAUGGAGAAGGCAGCUAACUGGGACGGUAUUGACGCUGAGACGAGAAAGCGUGGGGAGCAAACAGG